GCUGGCGGCAUGCCUUACACAUGCAAGUCGAACGGCAGCGCGGGAGCAAUCCUGGCGGGAGUGGCGAACGGGUGAGUAAUACAUCGGAACGUGCCCAAUCGUGGGGGAUAACGCAGCGAAAGCUGUGCUAAUACCGCAUACGAUCUACGGAUGAAAGCAGGGGAUCGCAAGACCUUGCGCGAAUGGAGCGGCCGAUGGCAGAUUAGGUAGUUGGUGAGGUAAAGGCUCACCAAGCCUUCGAUCUGUAGCUGGUCUGAGAGGACGACCAGCCACACUGGGACUGAGACACGGCCCAGACUCCUACGGGAGGCAGCAGUGGGGAAUUUUGGACAAUGGGCGCAAGCCUGAUCCAGCCAUGCCGCGUGCAGGAUGAAGGCCUUCGGGUUGUAAACUGCUUUUGUACGGAACGAAACGGCUCUUUCUAAUAAAGAGGGCUAAUGACGGUACCGUAAGAAUAAGCACCGCAAUA
rnacentral:rRNA from 1 species